GUUUGAUCAUGGCUCAGAACGAACGCUGGCGGCAUGCCUAACACAUGCAAGUCGAACGAGACCUUCGGGUCUAGUGGCGCACGGGUGCGUAACGCGUGGGAAUCUGCCCUUUGCUUCGGAAUAACACAGAGAAAUUUGUGCUAAUACCGGAUAAUGUCGCAAGACCAAAGAUUUAUCGGCAAAGGAUGAGCCCGCGUAAGAUUAGGUAGUUGGUGGGGUAAUGGCCUACCAAGCCGACGAUCUUUAGCUGGUCUGAGAGGAUGAUCAGCCACACUGGGACUGAGACACGGCCCAGACUCCUACGGGAGGCAGCAGUGGGGAAUAUUGGACAAUGGGCGAAAGCCUGAUCCAGCAAUGCCGCGUGAGUGAUGAAGGCCUUAGGGUUGUAAAGCUCUUUUACCCGGGAUGAUAAUGACAGUACCGGGAGAAUAAGCUCCGGCUAACUCCGUG
rnacentral:rRNA from 1 species